UACGUAGGGGGCUAGCGUUGUCCGGAUUUAUUGGGCGUAAAGAGCGUGUAGGCGGCCAGGCAGGUCUGCUGUGAAAACUCGAGGCUUAACCUCGAGAUGUCGGCGGAAACCAUCUGGCUAGAGUCCGGAAGAGGAGAGUGGAAUUCCUGGUGUAGCGGUGAAAUGCGCAGAUAUCAGGAAGAACACCCGUGGCGAAGGCGGCUCUCUGGGACGGUACUGACGCUGAGACGCGAAAGCGUGGGGAGCGAACAGG
rnacentral:rRNA from 1 species